rnacentral:rRNA from 1 species
AUUGAACGCUGGCGGCAGGCCUAACACAUGCAAGUCGAACGGUAACAGGAAGCAGCUUGCUGCUUUGCUGACGAGUGGCGGACGGGUGAGUAAUGUCUGGGAAACUGCCUGAUGGAGGGGGAUAACUACUGGAAACGGUAGCUAAUACCGCAUAACGUCGCAAGACGAAAGAGGGGGACCUUAGGGCCUCUUGCCAUCGGAUGUGCCCAGAUGGGAUUAGCUAGUAGGUGGGGUAACGGCUCACCUAGGCGACGAUCCCUAGCUGGUCUGAGAGGAUGACCAGCCACACUGGAACUGAGACACGGUCCAGACUCCUACGGGAGGCAGCAGUGGGGAAUAUUGCACAAUGGGCGCAAGCCUGAUGCAGCCAUGCCGCGUGUAUGAAGAAGGCCUUCGGGUUGUAAAGUACUUUCAGCGGGGAGGAAGGGAGUAAAGUUAAUACCUUUGCUCAUUGACGUUACCCGCAGAAGAAGCACCGGCUAACUCCGUG